GCUAACUCCGUGCCAGCAGCCGCGGUAAUACGGAGGGUGCAAGCGUUGUCCGGAAUCAUUGGGUGUAAAGGGUGCGUAGGCUGGCGCUUAAGUCUGAGGUGAAAUCUUGCCGCUUAACGGUAAAAUGGCCUUGGAUACUGGGUGUCUUGAAUCUGACAGAGGUCGGUGGAAUUCGUAGUGUAGCGGUGAAAUGCAUAGAUAUUACGAAGAACACCAGUGGCGAAGGCGGCCGGCUGGGUCAGUAUUGACGCUGAGGCACGAGAGCGUGGGGAGCGAACAGGAUUAGAUACCCUUGUAGUC
rnacentral:rRNA from 1 species